AGCUUUGCGCAGCGACGGUAUCGUAGCCAAUGAGGUUUAUCCAAGGCACGAUUAUUGCUCAUUGAAAGCAUGUGCCUCUGUGUACUGCAUAUAUAAGUACAGUUGCACCAUUUCUCAUCUUAUACUAUCAGUUGACUAAUUUA